CAACCUUUUCUCCCCACUUCCUGGUUUCGGGUAGAUGAGGUGAAGAUCUUGCUAUUUCACUGCUAGUUUCUGCAACACUAUGCAAACCCCGCCCCGCAAGUUUAAAAAGAUAUACGUCUGACAUGCUGGGCAUAGACUGGCAGCAGCAGCAGCAGCAGCAGCAAAACAUACAUAUGAUGGACAGCUUUCACAGGAUGGGAUUCCCACAGAUCAUGGGUGUGAUUUAUGGUUGCCACAUUCACGACAUGGCUCAUUCAGGCUAGGGGGAGGAGUACAUAAACUGCAGAGGUUAUUACUCUAUUUUAAUGCUGGGUACAUGUGAUCACACGGGCUGAUGUAUUGAUUUGGAGGUUGGAUGGAGUGGACAUACCCACAAUACCUUUGUGUUCAGGAACUCCACUGUUUGCCAGGCAAUGUAUGUACCAACCAUCAGUAUGUGUGGGAUGCAGGUGCCGACACUCGUACUUGUUGGUAGUGCAUAUCCCAUGUGCCACUGGUUCAUGAAGCCUAGCAUAAGACUACUUUCAGCCAAUACUUCAACCAUUAUGGGAAUGUGGUGGAGUGUGUUUUUUGUCGGAUGAAAUCAUGAUGGGGUCUAUAUUCAAUGAGUUUAUUAGCCGUGGAGGAAAAUUUUGUGAAUGUAGUGACUUCCUAUGCAAUCCUACAUUAUAUUUGAGAGACUAGGGAACAUGUACUGCACAAAACAUUGGAUGGUUCUGCAGACUUGGAACUUCCCCCCCAUACAGAAAAGUACCACUGUUCUGACAAAAUUUUAAUAAAUAAAC